GCGGCUGUAGUUUAAUGGAUAAAACAUCGGACUCCGACUCCGACGCUGCGGGUUCGAUUCCCGCCAGGCGCA
rfam:Roseburia inulinivorans CAG:15 genomic scaffold, scf657